AUUGGAGGGCAAGUCUGGUGCCAGCAGCCGCGGUAAUUCCAGCUCCAAUAGCGUAUAUUAAAGUUGUUGCAGUUAAAAAGCUCGUAGUUGGAUUUCUGUCUUGGACGUUCGGUCCGCUUCCUUUGGGAGUGUGUAUUUAUGGAUGUUCGAGGCAUUUUUUGUGAGUCCGCCUUUCUGCCAUUAAGUUGGUGUGUUGGUGGGUUUGCAUCGUUUACUGUGAAAAAAUUAGAGUGUUUAAAGCAGGCGUUUGCUCAUUUGAAUACAUUAGCAUGGAAUAAUAAGAUAUGACUCUGGUGGUCUAUUUUGUUGGUUUGCACACCAGAGUAAUGAUUAAUAGGGACAGUUGGGGGUAUUCAUAUUUCAGCGUCAGAGGUGAAAUUCUUGGAUCGCUGGAAGAUGAGCUUAGGCGAAAGCAUUUACCAAGGAUGUUUUCAUUAAUCAAGAACGAAAGUUAGGGGAUCGAAGAUGAUUAGAUACCAUCGUAGUCUUAACCAUAAACUAUGCCGACUAGGGAUCGG
rnacentral:rRNA from 1 species